UACGUAGGGUGCAAGCGUUGUCCGGAAUUAUUGGGCGUAAAGAGCUCGUAGGCGGUUCGUCGCGUCGGCUGUGAAAUCCCGAGGCUCAACCUCGGGUCUGCAGUCGAUACGGGCGGACUGGAGUUCGGCAGGGGAGACUGGAAUUCCUGGUGUAGCGGUGAAAUGCGCAGAUAUCAGGAGGAACACCGGUGGCGAAGGCGGCAUCCUGGCCCGGUAUUGACGCUGAGGCGCGAAAGCCAGGGGAGCAAACAGG
rnacentral:rRNA from 1 species